rnacentral:rRNA from 1 species
AUACGGAGGAUCCGAGCGUUAUCCGGAUUUAUUGGGUUUAAAGGGUGCGCAGGCGGCCAUUUAAGUCAGCGGUUAAAUCGUGGGGCUCAACCCCAUUCUGCCGUUGAUACUGGGUGGCUUGAUUGCGGUCGAGGUUGGCGGAAUUCGUUGUGUAGCGGUGAAAUGCAUAGAUAUGACGAAGAACACCGAUUGCGUAGGCAGCUGGCCAGACCGCAAAUGACGCUCAUGCACGAAAGUGCGGGGAUCGAACAGGAUUAGAUAGCCUGGUAGUCCGCACAGUAAACGAUGAAUACUUGUUUUCGGCGAUAUAAUGUCGGAGGCAAAGCGAAAGCGAUAAGUAUUCCACCUGGGGAGUACGCCGGCAACGGUGAAACUCAAAGGAAUUGACGGGG